rnacentral:rRNA from 1 species
UCCAGACUCCUACGGGAGGCAGCAGUAGGGAAUAUUGCACAAUGGGGGGAACCCUGAUGCAGCGACGCCGCGUGGGUGAAGGAGUGCUUCGGCAUGUAAAGCUCUCUCAGCGGGGAAGAAAGAGGACAGUACCCGACUAAGAAGCCCCGGCUAACUACGUGCCAGCAGCCGCGGUAAUACGUAGGGGGCGAGCGUUAUCCGGAUUUAUUGGGCGUAAAGCGUGCGUAGGCGGCUUGUUAAGUCCAGAAUUAAAGCCCAAGGCUUAACCUCGGUUCGUUCUGGAUACUGGCAAGCUUGAGUAUGGUAGAGGCAAAUGGAAUUCCUAGUGUAGCGGUGAAAUGCGUAGAUAUUAGGAGGAACACCAGUGGCGAAGGCGAUUUGCUGGGCCAUCACUGACGCUGAGGUACGAAAGCGUGGGUAGCAAAUAGGAUUAGAUACCCUGGUAA